GUUCUCUUUUAUGGUUUAUCCUAUUUUUAAUGGAAUGUUAUAUUUGAAUGUAGGUUCAACAAAAUAAUAUUCGACCUGGUUAAACUAGUUUGCAUUUGACUUAGAUUCAACGUCAACAACUAUGAAUUGACUAAUAAACGUUUUUGUGUUUAACAAGCCAGUAGACAAACCAUUUUGCAAUUAGGAAGUAGAGCCUUAUGUAAAGUGGAAACUUAUUAAACUAUUUCAUAGAAAUAUUCUCGGAUCCAGCUCAAGAUAAAAGUUAGACUUAAAAACAAGCUCACAAUAUAUUCCUAAUCACAUAAUAUUAUUACUUAUAUCGAUUAUACAAUAAAUUCGCAAUGAAGAUGAUUUGAAUUAGUCUAUUAGAUCCAAGCUUUCUCUUUCAAAUCAUAUUAUAGAACAUAUUCUACAUAUGUAUAGAAGUGAGAUGAAACUUCAGCGAAAUCUAUCCUUGAUGCGUACAAAAAUAUGAGGCACACCAAAAAUUUUCUAUUAUAAAAUGAUAUAUAUUUUAUUUGUAGUGAUUGUAGAAAUUUCAUUUUCUUGGUUACAAGGUUUAGACCAGCUGAACCAAACCAAAGGCAUGACUCAGUUAGGGUUUACGACUUCCCUGUAAAAUCUUCGCUUCACUUCAAAUCAGUGUUUAUAAUUUUUCCUUUGAAAGAUAAGUAAUUAUGAGUUGAAAUUGGGUUUUUGAGUUCUUUGUAGAAAAGGUUUCAGGGUUUAUAUUAUUUUUCUUCUUGACAUUCAUCAGACUGGAGAACACAGGCUCGUGUUAUCCACAACAAGGGUGUCAGUGUGAAACGUAAGAAAUGUAAGCGAGAGAGGUUGAUGAUUAGUGAAAGGUCAAGGCUCAAGGUUUACAUGGAACAUGAGAAGCUGGACUUGCUUUGUUGAUGAAUGAUGGGUAUGGCAAGGAUGGGAAAUAGAUUUAUGUUCCUUUUAAUGGUAAAACUUGCCAGUUGUCACCAGUGAUGGUUACUCUCCUCUUUAUUCAUAAAUCUACAUCCAAGAUUCAGGCUCCUAAUGUUAAUAACUUUUGCUUUAAAUUUUGGCUUUAGAAUUUUGACCGUAGAAAUUGAAGUAAAAAAAAAAAAAAAAAAGUUAACAACAUUUUUUUAAUGGAAAAAGGACUUUAAAGUCUUAAAAAGUGUCUGGUAGAAAAAAUGUACAAAAAAUAAUUUUUUUAAGGGAAUUUGGGGUGGAUGACCCCAAAAACAAAUUUAAUUAGGUAUAUGGAUAUGUCACUGUUGAUUUUUCAUAAUGCCAGUAGUAACCCUAUUCUAUCUUGUAGAUAUGCACAAACACAAAUCUGAUACUUUUGUCUUUAGCUUUCGUGCAUGCUUCUAAAUUAAUUAUAGAUUUUUUUUUUGAAACAGAAUCGAACUCUUUGUCUCUUUAGCUAUCUCUCUUUCUGUAUCUUUCUCUUUCUCUCUUCUUCCUGAUGUGAUCAUUCAUCUUCUCUAAAAAAAGGAACUGUUUCUUUAUUGACGAAAGUUCUGAUGAAAUCAUGUGACAUAUCCUUUGAUUCAUCUCUCUAUAAAUGUGAAGAAUACAAGUAUUCACUUGCAUAUGCUCUGCCGUCGUGUUCCGUAAGCCUCUGAUCUACUCCCCCGCUGUAUUCCCGUAAGCCUCCGCCUUCGCCUCUGCUGUCAUCAUUGUAAUCCUCAGCUCCACGGCCGUGCUCCUGAAACCUCGUCUUCAUUCUUCUUCUCAUUUUAUAUCUAUUCAAUGUUCGAUUUGCUUCAGCACUGUGUUUGGUAAGGAAGAAAUGCGCUUUACUGUCUUUUUUUUGUGGUUGCUUUGCUCUAUCUUCUUGUUUUUUUUUGUUUGUUUGAUGUGAGAAAUGAAAAAUUUGUUAUGAAUCUGAAGAACGUUAUCUAUUUUUUUAUUUUCGUGGCUAUUA